rnacentral:rRNA from 1 species
UACAGAGGGGGCAAGCGUUGUUCGGAAUUACUGGGCGUAAAGGGCGCGUAGGCGGCCUGCUAAGUCGAACGUGAAAUCCCUGGGCUCAACCCAGGAACUGCGUCCGAUACUGGCGGGCUUGAAUCCGGGAGAGGGAUGUGGAAUUCCAGGUGUAGCGGUGAAAUGCGUAGAUAUCUGGAGGAACACCGGUGGCGAAGGCGGCAUCCUGGACCGGUAUUGACGCUGAUGCGCGAAAGCCAGGGGAGCAAACGGG